GGAUUAGAUACCCUAGUAUGUAAAAUUUAUGAAAUUAUUAUGACAAGAAAUUUAAAAUUUUUGGCGGUUAAUUAUUAUUAUAGAGGAGCUUGUUUUUAGAAAUUACUCUAUAUAUUUUAUUAAUAUGUGUUUAUUUAUCUCCGUUAUAAGGUAAUUACUUUAUAAAAUUUAAGUUUAUACUUCAGGUCAAGAUGUAGCAAUUAUUAAGAGGAAUUAGCUACAUUAAUGAAAUUAUGAAUAAUAAGAAGUAUUAAUUUUAUAUGAAAUUGAAUCUAAUUGUAAUUUAGUUUAAAAUGAUUAGAUGAAUUGACGUAAUUUAUGUACAUAUUGCCCGUCACUUCUUCCGGGGAGGGAGAAUAAGUCGUAACAAAGUA
rnacentral:rRNA from 1 species